rnacentral:lncRNA from 1 species
CACUACUCACUAGGUCAUGAUACUCCACCACUACUACUCCUAGGUCCGUGAUACUCCACCACUACUCCCUAGGUCAGUGAUACUCCACCACUACUCCUACUAGUGUCAGUGUACUCCACCACUACCUCCCCUAGGUCAGUGAUACUCCACCACUACUCCUCCUAGGUCAGUGUACUCACCCCUACUCCCUAGGUCAGUGAUACUCCACCACUACUCCCUAGGUCAGUGAUACUCCACCACUACUCCCUAGGUCAAGGUGAUACUCCACCACUACUCCCUAGGUCAGUGAUACUCCACCACCACUACUCCCUAGGUCAGUGAUACUCCACCACUACUCCCUAGGUCAGUGAUACUCCACCACUACUCCCUAGGUCAGUGAUACUCCACCACUACUCCCUAGGUCAGUGAUACUCCACCACUACUCCCUAGGUCGGGGUUUAGUUGUUUUGAAGUAGUUUAAACAACUAAAAGCAGA